rnacentral:rRNA from 1 species
AAGACCAAAGAGGGGGACCUUCGGGCCUCUUGCCAUCGGAUGUGCCCAGAUGGGAUUAGCUAGUAGGUGGGGUAACGGCUCACCUAGGCGACGAUCCCUAGCUGGUCUGAGAGGAUGACCAGCCACACUGGAACUGAGACACGGUCCAGACUCCUACGGGAGGCAGCAGUGGGGAAUAUUGCACAAUGGGCGCAAGCCUGAUGCAGCCAUGCCGCGUGUAUGAAGAAAGCCUUCGGGUUGUAAAGUACUUUCAGCGGGGAGGAAGGCGAURAGGUUAAUAACCUUGUCGAUUGACGUUACCCGCAGAAGAAGCACCGGCUAACUCCGUGCCAGCAGCCGCGGUAAUACGGAGGGUGCAAGCGUUAAUCGGAAUUACUGGGCGUAAAGCGCACGCAGGCGGUCUGUCAAGUCGGAUGUGAAAUUCCCGGGCUCAACCUGGGAACUGCAUUCGAAACUGGCAGGCUAGAGUCUUGUAGAGGGGGGUAGAAUUCCAGGUGUAGCGGUGAAAUGCGUAGAGAUCUGGAGGAAUACCGGUGGCGAAGGCGGCCCCCUGGACAAAGACUGACGCUCAGGUGCGAAA